GCAAGUGUGCCGCCAGAGUGCUGCAGUGGACUUAAAUCUCUCCUCAGUGCUGCACGUACCCGCACGGACCGCCAGAGCGCUUGCCAAUGCGUGAAGACCGUGGCGUCAAGCGCUACUGGAGAUCAAAUUAGCCGUGCUGCUAGUAUCCCUGGAAUAUGUAAGGCCAAGGUUCCUUUCAAGAUUAGUGCAAAUGUUGAUUGCUCAAAGAUCAAGUAAGAGACUAUUUGUGAGUGGAAUAAUAUGUUGAAUUAAAUCGAUCUAGCCGUUGUGUUUACCUGUUUUGUCAAGAGUUACUCAGUGGCUGUUGUACAAUGAGAUUAUUUUCAUUGAUGUCCCUUUCUUUCCGAGACGCUAUUGUUGCCCUAUAUUAUUUUCUUAUAGCUAGCACACUAUAAUGUUGCUUUUUCCGAUGAUCUAUAGAAUUAAAUAAAUUCGAGUAAUCUCACAUUUUAUAGAACUCUGUUGGAUACUUCAGAAAUUAAUCAAAUUGACAUUUGAUAA
rnacentral:lncRNA from 1 species